CCGAAUGGGGAAACCCAGUGUGAUUCGUCACACUAUCAUUAACUGAAUCCAUAGGUUAAUGAGGCGAACCGGGGGAACUGAAACAUCUAAGUACCCCGAGGAAAAGAAAUCAACCGAGAUUCCCCCAGUAGCGGCGAGCGAACGGGGAGGAGCCCAGAGCCUGAAUCAGCAUGUGUGUUAGUGGAAGCGUCUGGAAAGGCGCGCGAUACAGGGUGACAGCCCCGUACACAAAAGCGCAUGUGCUGUGAGCUCGAUGAGUAGGGCGGGACACGUGGUAUCCUGUCUGAAUAUGGGGGGACCAUCCUCCAAGGCUAAAUACUCCUGACUGACCGAUAGUGAACCAGUACCGUGAGGGAAAGGCGAAAAGAACCCCGGCGAGGGGAGUGAAAAAGAACCUGAAACCGUGUACGUACAAGCAGUGGGAGCNNGUGACUGCGUACCUUUUGUAUAAUGGGUCAGCGACUUAUAUUCUGUAGCAAGGUUAACCGUAUAGGGGAGCCGGAGGGAAACCGAGUCUUAAUUGGGCGUUAAGUUGCAGGGUAUAGACCCGAAACCCGGUGAUCUAGCCAUGGGCAGGUUGAAGGUUGGGUAACACUAACUGGAGGACCGAACCGACUAAUGUUGAAAAAUUAGCGGAUGACCUGUGGCUGGGGGUGAAAGGCCAAUCAAACCGGGAGAUAGCUGGUUCUCCCCGAAAGCUAUUUAGGUAGCGCCUCGUGAAUUCAUCUCCGGGGGUAGAGCACUGUUUCGGCUAGGGGGCCAUCCCGGCUUACCAACCCGAUGCAAACUGCGAAUACCGGAGAAUGUUAUCACGGGAGACACACGGCGGGUGCUAACGUCCGUCGUGAAGAGGGAAACAACCCAGACCGCCAGCUAAGGUCCCAAAGUCAUGGUUAAGUGGGAAACGAUGUGGGAAGGCCCAGACAGCCAGGAUGUUGGCUUAGAAGCAGCCAUCAUUUAAAGAAAGCGUAAUAGCUCACUGGUCGAGUCGGCCUGCGCGGAAGAUGUAACGGGGCUAAACCAUGCACCGAAGCUGCGGCAGCGACGCUGAUACGUUCGUUGGGUAGGGGAGCGUUCUGUAAGCCUGUGAAGGUGUGUCGUGAGGCAUGCUGGAGGUAUCAGAAGUGCGAAUGCUGACAUAAGUAACGAUAAAGCGGGUGAAAAGCCCGCUCGCCGGAAGACCAAGGGUUCCUGUCCAACGUUAAUCGGGGCAGGGUG
rnacentral:rRNA from 1 species